CUCGCCGAACCCGCGUGCCCAGCCUCGCCGACACUGCUUUCUUCGCGUGCCCUAACCGGGUCACGGUAGUUUUUCCCCUCUCAGCGUACAAAACCACUCGGCCAAGGGUUUUGCAUCUUCCCUCUCACGCCGCUGUCUUCCUCCACUCACUCUCCGCCGCGCCUAUCUCCAAUCGCCAGCCACCCGAGCAGCGCCGAUCAAGCCGAGGUUUCCUCAGCCCUAGCGUCGGCCUCUUCUCCUCCUACUCGAGCAGUCCCUCUGUGCCCUAGCAUCUCCGCCGACGCCGAACAGUGCCGACCUUCCCUCCUCUGCCUACCGAUCCCUCUCCUUCUCCCGACGCCGAGCAGCGCCGAGUCUAGCCUCCCCGCAGUCCCCAGCGCCGACCACCGCAGUGCCGCGACCCUUUCCCUCUUUGGAGCUGUGCGCCGACGCCGACCCACUUUCGCCGGCCACCAGGUCCGACCUCAGGCGCCUCCGACUCCACUGAUCACCAGGUGCUGUCGCGCAACCGAUGGGCCUAGUAGUGCCCUAGUUCUCGCCGCCGCAACCACCUAGCCUCUGUGCUGCUUGCUGCCACAGAAGAGGGAGGUUCUUGGUUGUGGUUUGAGUGUGGAGGGUUUCCAGCAACAGUUACUUCGUCCAGCAGUAACUUUCCUUGCCUGUGGUGUAACAGGAGCAGCUGAGAAGUAAGGAGUUUGACGCGAGACGAGUAUCUCGAUUAUCGGAUUGGACCUUUUCGAUUGGAG